ensembl:lncRNA
GAUAAAUAUCAGGGCUUCCCUGGUAGCUCAGCUGAUAAAGAAUCCACCUACAAUUCAGGAGACCUCCGUUCGAUUCCUGGGUCAGGAAGAUUCCCUGGAGAAGGGAUAGGCUACCCUCUCCAGUAUUCUUGGGCUUCUCUGGUGGCUCAAACAAAAUUUUGUCUUCACUGAUUCCUUCUCAGUUCAAUUCAGAUCAGCCACUCAGUUGUGUCCGACUCUUUGUGACCUCAUGGACUGCAGCACGCCAGGCCUCUCUGUCCAUCACCAACUCCCGGAGUUUACGCAAACUCAUGUCCAUUGAUUCGGUGAUGCCAUUCAGUCAUCUCAUCCUCUGGUGUCCCCUUCUUCUGCCUUCAAUCUUUCCCAGCAUCAGAGUCUUUUCAAAUGAGUCAGCUCUUUGUAUCAGAUGGCCAAAGAAUUUGAGCUUCAACAUCAGUCCUUCAAAUGAACACUCAGGACUGAUCUCCUUUAGAAUGGACUGGUUGGAUCUUCUUGCAGUCCAAGGGACU